rnacentral:rRNA from 1 species
CCUACGGGAGGCUGCAGUGGGGAAUAUUGCACAAUGGGCGAAAGCCUGAUGCAGCAACGCCGCGUGAGCGAUGAAGGCCUUCGGGUCGUAAAGCUCUGUCCUCAAGGAAGAUAAUGACGGUACUUGAGGAGGAAGCCCCGGCUAACUACGUGCCAGCAGCCGCGGUAAUACGUAGGGGGCAAGCGUUGUUCGGAAUGACUGGGCGUAAAGGGUGUGUAGGCGGUGUAGCAAGUUAGAAGUGAAAUACCUAGAGCUUAACUCAGGUGCUGCUUCUAAAACUGCUAUACUUGAGUGCAGUAGAGGAAAGUGGAAUUCCUAGUGUAGCGGUGGAAUGCGUAGAUAUUAGGAGGAACAUCAGUGGCGAAGGCGACUUUCUGGACUGUAACUGACGCUGAGGCACGAAAGUGUGGGGAGCAAACAGGAUUAGAUACCCCUGUAGUC